GAUGAAGAACGUAGCGAAAUGCGAUAAGUAAUGUGAAUUGCAGAAUUCAGUGAAUCAUCGAAUCUUUGAACGCACAUUGCGCCCGUCAGUAUUCUGGCGGGCAUGCCUGUUCGAGCGUCAUUACGCCCCUCAAGUCCCCUGUGGACUUGGUGUUGGGGAUCGGCGAGGCUGGUUUUCCAGCACAGCCGUCCCUUAAAUUAAUUGGCGGUCUCGCCGUGGCCCUCCUCUGCGCAGUAGUAAAACACUCGCAACAGGAGCCCGGCGCGGUCCACUGCCGUAAAACCCCCCAACUUUUUAUAGUUGACCUCGAAUCAGGUAGGACUACCCGCUGAACUUAAGCAGAUCAAUAAGCGGAGGA
rnacentral:misc_RNA from 1 species